UGUUCUGUGGGAUUUGGCUUGUUAAUAUUUUGUUGACGGUGUUUGCAUCUAUACUCAUAAGGGAUAUUGGUCUAUAUUUUUCUUAUGGUAUCUUUAUCUGACUUUGGUAUCAGGAUAAUGCUGGCCUCAUAGAACGUGUUAGGAAGUAUUCUUUCCUCUUCUAUUUUUGGAGAUUUUUGAGUAAGAAUGAUAUUAAUUCAUCUUUAAAUGUUUGACAGAACUUAUGGGUGAACCUAUAUGGUCUAGGCUAUUUCUUCGAUGGAAGAGUUUUGACGGAUUUAAUCUUUUUACUUAUAUAGGUCUUUUUGUUAUAUAUAGGUCUGUUGAGACUUUGUGUUUCUUUUAAGUUAUUUUUGGUAAGUCAUGGAAUUUGUCUAUUUCACCUAGAUUAUCUAACUUGUUGUCAUACGAAUUGUUCCUAUAAUUCUCUUAUAAUACUUUUAAUUUCUGUAAGGUCAGCAGUAAUAUCCCUACCUUUAUUUCUGAUUCUACUUAUUUAUGUCUUCUCUCUUUUUUCUUAGUAGUCUAGCUAAGGAUUUAUCAAUUUUGUUGGUAUUUUCUUUGAUCUCAUGGAUUAUAUUUUUUUCUCUAUUUCAUUUUUCUCUUUUCGGAUCUUCAUUAUCUUCUGCUGGCUUUGGAUUUAGUUUGCUCUUCUUUGUCUGUUUUCUUAAUGUGUAAAUUUAGGUUGAUUUGAUAUUUUUCUUUUUUAAUGCAGGCAUUUACAGCUGUAAAUUUUUCUCUGAAUACAGUUUUUCCUGCAUUUUGUAAGUUUUGGAAUGUUUGUUUUUGUUUUCAGUCAUCUUAAAUUAUUAUCUAAUUUCUCUAGUGAUUUAUUCUUUAAACCACUAAAGAAAAUUCACAAAUACCUGGAACUAAGCAAUAUACUUGUUGUGAAGCAAUAUACUUUUUGUGAACAAGUAUAUUGCUUAGUUCCAGGUGUUUGUGAAUUUUCUAGUUUUCCUUCUGUAUUGAUUACUCAUUUUAUUGUGGUUCAAAAAGAUAGUAUGUAUCACCUUAGUCUUUUUAAGCUUAUAGAUAAUUGUUUUAUGGAAGAACAUAUAGUCUAUCCUGAAGAAUGUCCCAUGUGUACUUGAGAAGACUGUAUUCUGCUAUUGUUGAGUGGAAUGUUCUGUACGUGUCUCUGGGGUCUAGUUGGUUUUGUAGUAUUGUUCAAGCCUCCUACUUCCUUAUUGGUUUUCUUUCUACUUGUCUAUCAAUUGUGGAAAGUGAGGCAUUAAGGUCUCCAACUAUUAUUGUAGAACUGUAUAUUUCUCCCUUCAGUUUUCUAAAGGUUUGUUUUAUAUAUUUUCUGGCUGUCAUAUGGUGCAUAUAUGUUUAUAAUUGUUAUAUCUUUUUGAUAAAUUGAAACUUAACAACAUAAAAUGUCCAUCUUUGCUCUUGUAACAUGUUUUUACUUAACAUCUAAUUUGUCUGUUAUUAGUAUAGCCAUCCCAGCUUUUUUUUGUUUAUAAUUUGCACAUAUUUACAUAACGUUUUAAUAGUAAAAUGCAGAUUAUGAUAUCUAAGCAAGUGAUGGUGGUUCAAAAUAAAUUUUUGUCAUGUUAUUGUUUAUUCAUUUAGUGGAGUUAUUUUUAAAAUGUCAAGCAAGGUUUUUCUUAUAAGCUAAAAUAAUAGAUGCAGGAAAGCUAAUAUUCAGAGGAAAAUUUGCUGUUUUUAUACUUAUAUGUAUAUUUUUAAGGGUUAAUAUUGCUUACUAUAGAAUUUAUUCCUUUGUGAUUAUGAAUUCCUUGCAUUUCUUUCUAGCUAAGAGUUGAUGCUUGCUGUACACUUGAGUUUAUUGUGUGUAUCUUGUCCUAGUUGCAUUAAUAGUCUACACAGUCAACUAUAGUUCUCAAAUAAUAGUCAUAUUAAUUGCUACCAGAUUAUUACAUAUAUGAAUAUAUAUUUUAUAUAUAGUAUAUAUAUGUAUUUAUGUAUAUAUACUUUAAUGAUACUAAAUGUAGAUAUCAAGUCAGCUUUUUAUACAUUAUAUCCAAUGGACUUUUCAUUUGACUUCUUAACCUCUGAAAAUGUAGAUCACAUAAACUCUUGAAAAUAUACUAUGGCUUUUAAAGUUCUUAGAAUAUAUCAGGUAAGUAUAUUCUACACAUUUUUCUCUAGAUAUACCACCAUACAAAGAUGAGCAUUUUAUGGUGAUACCAUUGCAUAGAAGUAAAUUUAGUAUCAAUUUACUUUAGUUUUCUAAUAUCAGUUUCUCUUCAAAUUUUUGAGAGAAAAGUUUAGGCUUAGACUGUCAAUGCAAGAUUGAUUUAGAAAUACAUGAAUUUGAUUUUUUUCCUUUUGGGAAAAUUAUUUUGAAGCCUGUAGUGCUUUACUUAUAGAGAGUUUUAUAUUUUAAAAACACCUGCUAUAAUAUUUUACAAAAAAUGAUUUAUUAUGGAAAUAACUUACAUGUACCUUUUGAUAAUUAUAAGGACAUUAAAGUCGCAAAGUGAUCUGUGAAUGUUCCUACCUUGUCUUUUUUUUCCCCCAAUAGUUGUUGCUCAUUGUUUUGGUUCUCCAUCUUCCUUCCAAUUCUCUAAUAAUCCUUUAGGAUCAGUACCUAAUCCCAGCAAACAAAAAUAUUCAACAAGUCUCUGCGAAUUACGAUGAAGAAAAGAUGAAUUUUAAUUAAAAAGAGGUGACUAAAAUGUAAAGAGAUGAGUGGGAGGACUUGCCACAGAAGCAACAAAGACCGAGAAGGCAAUACACUUUGUGAUACCAUUUCCUUACUUUGGGCAGCAGAGCAAUUCGCUGAAGUUGCAGUAACAGAUCAUCUCACAUCCCUUCCCAUCCCAGAAAUGAUCCUGGACAUUGACAUCAAUCUGUGUCAGGUGCCAAAGUAUCUUUCCUUCCUUGGAAAGAGGGAAAACAGAUGGAGGACAUUGUACUUGGAAAGAAAACAAUAUUGUGGAAUAGCCAGACGUGGUGGCUCACACCUGUAAUCCCAGCACUUUGGGAGGCCAAACCCGGCAGAUCACCUGAGGCUUGACUCCUUCUGGGCUCACCAAGGCUGGCAGUAUGGGGAGAAGCAGCAGCUGGUUUCGGCCUUCACAGCUCACAUCUUCCCAGGAGAGAGGUCCUGAGUUAUUGCCCUAAUCUUCUCAAAGCUGUUUCACAGACACAAGCAUCUGGUGAGUUGAUAAUGUUAAUGAUAAUAGCAAUGAUACUAGUAAUAAUAAUGCUAUUAACUGCAUUGCCAAGUGUGCUAAACAUUUUGCAAAUGUUGUCUUAUUUAGUACACGCAACUUACUUACAUGAGGUAGUUUCCAGAUGGGGGAACUGGGGUUCAAAAAAAUUAAGCACUUGGCCAAGAUCACACAGCUGAUAAGUAGUGGAGCACAAACUGGAAACCAAGACAAAACUGUGCUCUUAGCCUGCUGCCACAAUAAAUAGCAAAAGAAAUAGAAUGAGAAAUUGGAGAACCUAAAACAACAGUACCUUUUUAAAAAAUUGUAGCCCAUAAUUUGAAUGUGCAUGAAUCACACCUGCUCUCUGUGAGCCACAGAGUCGUCUCUCUUUUACUGUGUUUCCUCCGUCCAUCUUCUGUUCAUAUUUGGCUUGAAACAGUUCUUAACUGGACAGUCAGAAACUUAAAGCAGCUGAAUGGUGUUUUCUACAAAGUCAGAUAUGGACAGUUGCCAAAAUAUCAGUCCUUGGGACAGAGUUUUUAAGUGAUUAUAAUUCUAGGAGUAAAACCAGUCACUCAGUAAAUAUUUGUUAAAUGAAUGAAUGAGUUAAUGAAUAAAUGAGUGAGGGGAUUAGAUUCUUGGGUACAGGAGAGGUUCUUGGGAAGUAAUCAUUCAUAAUUAUUUAUUGUGUGUCUGCUGUGUACCAUGAAUGAUAUUGCAGUGUCGCUGAAGGCAAAGUUCAGCAACUGAUCACUAUUUCUUCAAGGUCCUCUCCAAAGCACAAGCUACUUGGCCAGCCUGGCUGCUGAGUCCUAAUGUAAACCCUCAGUCUUCUCCCUUGUAAAAUAAGGGGUUUAAUUGAUUGUUUUUAUUGCUCUUCUACUUCCCAUUUUUCUAUGAGUAUAUGAUUCUAAAUAUCAUUUUUAAACAAACAUUUUUAUUUUAAAAUAGUUUUUCAUUUACAGAAAAACUGUUAGCUUAGUACAGAGACUUCCUAUAUACCCUAUAUCCAGUUUCCUCUAUUAUUUAACUCUUACAUUAGUGUGGUCCAUUUUUUAUAAUUAAUAAAUCUACAUUAAUACAUUAUUAUUAACUAAAGUUCAUACUUUAUUUAUUUGUACUUAGUUUUUACCUUUUCUGUUGCGGGAUCCCCUGCCCAGAACACCACAUUACAUUUAGUUGUAGUGUCUCUUCAGGCUCCUCAGUGUCUCCGACUUUGCCUGUUUUUGAUGACUUUGACCGUUUUGAGGAAUACUGGUCAAGUAUUUUGUAGAAUGCCUCUCAACUUAGAUCUGUCUAAUAUUGGUCUUAUGGUUAAACUUGGGUUAUGUGUUUGUAGAAAGAGGACCACAGAGUUAAAGUGCCAUUUCCAUCAUGUCAUAUCACACAUGAACAUACAGGUCAGGAACGUGACUUAUCACUAUUGAUUUAACUUCAAUCACCUGGCUCAAGUCGUUUUCGUUAUGUGGCUCCACUGCACAUUUACUCUUUUUCUCCCCCUUUCCAUAGUACACUCUGUGGAAGGAAGUCCCUAUGCAUGGUCCAUAUGUAAGGAGUGGGAAGUUAUGCUCUACCUCUUUGAGGGCGGAGUAACUACAUAAAUUUUGGAGAAUUUUUCUUCACAUGAAAUUUGUCCAUCAUUGCUUAUUUAUUUACUUGUAUUAGGAUGAACUCAUGUAUAUUUAUUCUAUACUUUGGAUUAUUUUAUACUUUGGAUUAAAAUAUUCCUUGCUCAAACUGUCCCAGCUUUUGCCUUUAGGGGCUCCUUUAGUUGCCUCUUGUGUCUCUAUGGCAUGCCCCAUCAAGGUCGUGGUUUUUGGUUUUGUUUUGUUUUUGUGCACUUUCUUCCUUUCUGGCACUAAAAGAUUGCUCCAAGCUCAUCUUGUGUAUUUCCUGUCCCAGUACUAGAAUCAGCCAUUUCUCCAAGGAGCCCUGGUUCCUUUCAUUGAAGAAUAAAUUAGAAACCAAGAUCUGGGAGCUAGGUGUGCUCACUAGUACUGGUGUGUCAUAGCUUCUCAUUCCUCUCAGCUGACAGAGCAAGGAAAUAUACUGUGUAUACCAACCUGUGUAAAUACACAUAUCUAUGAAUAUUGCUAUGCAUAACUGUCUGUAUCUACAACAACCUAAACAUGAGUUUAUUCUGAUGCCUCCAACUCUAAUCCAUUACUACGUGAAUCAUUUGAGCUUCCUCCUCUUGCUCAUCUGUAACCUCCUGCUCCAGCAGUGGGAACCUAACUCCUACUAUCAGCCACUUAUUUAAUUGUUCAUUUCCAGUAUACAUGUAUAGCAGCAUCGGAAUUGUUGGCACAUACCUCAUGG
rnacentral:lncRNA from 1 species